rnacentral:rRNA from 1 species
GACGAACGCUGGCGGCGUGCUUAACACAUGCAAGUCGAGCGGCGCGGCGAACGGGGGAGUAACGCGUCAGUAACUGCCCCCCUCUCUGGGAUAACAGUUGGAAACGGCUGCUCAUACCGGCUAGUGGGGGAUGACUCGCGUCCUAUCAGCUUGUUGGGGGGGUCGUUGCUUACCAAGGCGACGACGGGUAGCCGGCCUGCGAGGGCGACCGGCCACAUUGGGCUGGGAUAGGGCUCAAACGCCUACGGGAGGCAGCAGUGGGGAAUAAUGCACAAUGGGGGAAACCCUGAGGCAGCAACGCCGCGUGCGGGAUGACGGCCUUCGGGUUGUAAACCGCUUUCAGCCAUGACGCGGUAGUGGCAGAAGAAGCACCGGCUAACUACGUGCCAGCAGCCGCGGGAAUUC